rnacentral:rRNA from 1 species
UUGUCCUUAGUUACCAGCCCGUAAUGGUGGGCACUCUAAGGAGACUGCCGGUGACAAACCGGAGGAAGGUGGGGAUGACGUCAAGUCAUCAUGGCCCUUACGGCCUGGGCUACACACGUGCUACAAUGGUCGGUACAGAGGGUUGCCAAGCCGCGAGGUGGAGCUAAUCUCACAAAACCGAUCGUAGUCCGGAUCGAAGUCUGCAACUCGACUGCGUGAAGUCGGAAUCGCUAGUAAUCGCGAAUCAGAAUGUCGCGGUGAAUACGUUCGCGGGCCUU